rnacentral:tRNA from 1 species
AUCAAGUUGGUAGAAAAAAAUACGUCUAAUUUAGGCUUAGGAAAUAGACUUAGGUUUACUUGAUA